rnacentral:pre_miRNA from 1 species
CAACUACUCCCUCCGUUCGGAAUUACUUGUCUCGAAAAUGGAUGUAUCUAGAACUAAAAUAGUUCUAGAUACAUCCAUUUUCGAGACAAGUAAUUCCGAACGGAGGGAGUAUAAU